rnacentral:rRNA from 1 species
GACCAGACUCCUACGGGAGGCAGCAGUGAGGAAUAUUGGUCAAUGGCCGUAAGGCUGAACCAGCCAAGUAGCGUGAGGGAAGGCUGCCCUAUGGGUUGUAAACCUCUUUUGUCAGGGAGCAACGCCGGCUACGUGUAGCCGGACUGAGAGUACCUGAAGAAAAAGCAUCGGCUAACUCCGUGCCAGCAGCCGCGGUAAUACGGAGGAUGCGAGCGUUAUCCGGAUUUAUUGGGUUUAAAGGGUGCACAGGCGGUCUGUUAAGUCAGCGGUCAAAGCCGGGGGCCCAACCCCGGGCCGCCGUUGAAACUGGCAGUCUCGAGUUGGAGAGAAGUAUGCGGAAUGCGCGGUGUAGCGGUGAAAUGCAUAGAUAUCGCGCAGAACUCCGAUUGCGAAGGCAGCAUGCCGGCUCCACACUGACGCUGAGGCACGAAAGCGUGGGUAUCGAACAGGAUUAGAUACCCCGGUAA